rnacentral:rRNA from 1 species
UGCCAGCCGCCGCGGUAAUACGUAUGGAGCGAGCGUUGUCCGGAAUUAUUGGGCGUAAAGGGUACGCAGGCGGUUUAAUAAGUCGAAUGUUAAAGAUCGGGGCUCAACCCCGUAAAGCAUUGGAAACUGAUAAACUUGAGUAGUGGAGAGGAAAGUGGAAUUCCUAGUGUAGUGGUGAAAUACGUAGAUAUUAGGAGGAAUACCAGUAGCGAAGGCGACUUUCUGGACACAAACUGACGCUGAGGUACGAAAGCGUGGGGAGCAAACAGGAUUAGAUA